CCGCGAAAGCUAUAAAAAGGGCUCCUGGAGGCCCGGGCUUGAGAUUUACGAGGCCGUUCGCCUGCAUCAGUAUCGCAGGGUGACGUUUAAAAGCGUGUCCGUACCCUGCGGGUUGUUUGCCCACCUGCCGUACAUUUGCGGGAAGGACGUAGCGUCCGCAGUGUGGGAGCCCAUCUGGCUCCGCUCUUGGAUAUUGACUGGGCGGGACCCUCAUCGCAUCCAGCCCAGGGGAGUACUCGCGAGCACAGGCCCACGCAAGAAAGUUGAACCUGCUCACGACUGAUUUAAAUAGCUCCACUUUGUGGACAGGUAGUGACGGUGUGUGUGUGUGUGUAUAUAUAUAUAUAUAUUUUUUUUUUGCGGUACAGGGGAUUGAACUGAGGACCUUUCGCGUAUGAGGCAGGCGCGGCGCCACUGAGCUAACUCCCCAGCCCGGUGACAAUUUUUGCCAGUCUUCGACACCUGCCCUAGCGGUUCUUCACAGACUUCUUUGUGUUUUGCAAAGGCAUUGGCUUUUUGACCGUAUCAUUUUUCUUGGGGCGAUUUCAGGAACCCCCUGUCUUCUAUUGCUGCUCUCUGCAUCCGCCUCUUUUGAAGUGGUCUUGGCCUUCCCAGAACCUGGGAUGGAGCGCGCCGCCCUGCGGUCCUGGCUACCGGUCUCUGUCGCGUACUACCGCUGCGCGCCCUUUCCGGUCCAUGCCCUCUUCCCUUUCCGAGAUCCUGGGCCCCAGGAUCUUUCCUCCGGAGUUUCCCGACCUCCCUGGCUAUUGACCAUGCUCCUGCCGCUUUCCCGCAGGUUCCCAGACGUAGCUGGUCUAUGUGUUCCCUGCUCCCCGUACCUACCCGAGUCGUCGCUUCGGGGACACCCUCAUCCUGUGUGCCUUGUUAAAUCUUCCAAGUGCCUGUCUUACACUGAGGAUUGGGAUGGUGUCUGCCAGGUUCCUGACAGGGCCGAGCAUUUAAAUACCUGCUUAAGGAACACAAGUGACAACCUCUCUGGGAAUUACACAGAAAAAUUGUGGAGCACACUAAUGAGCUGACAGGUGAACAGGCAGGCACAGCAUAACAAAGACCUCCUAUGACAACAGGAAAAGCAAAAAACUUUCAACUGCCCUACAAGAAGGAACAGGAAAACAAAACUGUGUGCUAUCAGUGUUUUGCAAGCAAGUAAACAGCUGAUGUGAAAAUGUUGAUGUCUAUUAUAAAGCACAAUGCAUACUAAGAAUUUACUACUUAUUUUAUUGUUAUUUUACGUUCCUGUUAACUACACACUGUAUAAAAGAAACUCCUGACAAAACAACAAGACCAGUAAGAUGUCAAGUAUGUCCUACAAAAAGGCCAGGAAACCAAAACACGUGAGCUGUCAUUGUAAGCAAUCUGUGUGUAUGGAAUGCACUGUUGUCUUAUGUGUAGACUACCUUACAUGUGAUUAUUGAAGUAAAGAUUGUAUUUUGGAAAGUGCUAUUGGUAUUUUCAUUGUAGUUCAUAUAAGAAUUUAUUUAUGGUGUUCUAUUUUAGACUUUGUAUACCAAAAAAUAGUUGAUGUUGAAAAUUUUGAUGUUUUUUAUAUGCUCAAUAAAUAUUGAAAAUUCACUACUUUAUUUUUGUGAUUUUUUUCCUAAGUAC
ensembl:lncRNA